AUGGGUCAGAACGGGGAGAUUUGUUUCAACAAAUCUCAGGUGCCCCUUUGUGGGGAGCACGGCCUUGUCGGCAGUCUGCCUCAGCAUCUGCUUCUGAGCGCGCCGGUGUUGGAGCAGCGCUCUGCAAACGCUGCUUGCUCGCCAAGAGGUUCUGAUGCCCUCAGCCCAAGGCUGCGCCUCGCCUUAGCGCUGCGUCCCGCCCAGCACGUGGGUGCUGCCGCUGCGGUCCUUAGGUGGGGGCAGGCGCGAAGGACAGCGGCGCGGAGCCGCGGCUACAGGGUAAAGCGUUUCCCGCGCGCUCGGGGAGCGGCACGAAGCCCAGCGCCGGGGCUGACGGCUGCGGUCGUUCCGGAGCCGGGAGUGGGCACGGGGAAUCCGGGCGGCGCGCCUGGCUCGAGGCCUCGAUUCGCCGGCGGCUCUGCUCGCAGACGGAGGCUUCUGCGGGAAACAGAGCCGUUUUUGUUGGCCGUGCCCGGCCGCCGAGGCGAGGCCGCGGCCCUCCCCGCCGUGCCGCCCAGGGUCCGGCCCCGGGCGCGCCGCCCAAUGGCGGGGCGGGGCGGGGCGGGCUCGGCAGGGCCGGGGACGCGGCGGAGGCUGCGGGCGGCACCGCGAGGUGAGGCGAGGCGCCGUGCCGUGCCGUGCCCCGGGCGGGCCGCGCGGAGCGGGCAGGGAGCGCGGGGGAUCCCGGAGCCGGGCGGCACGGCGGGCGGAGCGGGGAGCGGCCUGAGCGAGCCUGGCGCUGGGCCGCGGCCUCGGGUGCGGGUUGCGGCCGCCGGGGAAACCGCUCCGAGUUCCGUCCGGUGCGUGAGUCUGCGCUCGGGGCGGCGGGGCGCGCGUGCUCCCGCUCCGCGCUCGGUCCGCCGCCGCCUCGCCGCGCUUCGGACGUUUUGUCGCGAUGGAGCUGCGAUGAGGCGGCGGGGGAGGUUUGGUGGAAGGAAUGCGGGCUUUGCGUGUAUUCGGAGCCCGACGGCCUGUGCGUGUGUGCCGCGUGUUGUUCUGCGGCCCCUGCGGGGCGUGCGGCUCAGCUGGGACCGCGGCUGCCGUGCCGGGACGGCUCGUGGGCCGCGUGGUGUUGUGUCGUGGUGCUGUGUGGUGAGUUCUGUGUCGUGGUGGUUCUGCAGCGCGCAGCACGGCCAUGGGAGGACACAGCCCCUUCGUGUGGUGGGAGGGGAGAUGGAGCCUGUGCUGGAAGCGAGCAGCGUGGGCUGA
rnacentral:lncRNA from 1 species